CACGGGGGGAGCAAACGUUGUUCGGAAUCACUGGGCGUAAAGGGCGCGUAGGCGGCCUCGUAAGUGGUGUGUGAAAUCUCCUGGCUCAACCAGGGAAUUGCGCUCCAAACUGCGAGGCUUGAGGGCAGUAGAGGAAGCUGGAAUUCCAGGUGUAGCGGUGAAAUGCGUAGAUAUCGGAGGAACACCGUUGGCGAAGGCGAGCUUCUGGGCUGUCUCUGACGCUCAAGCGCGAAAGCUGGGGGAGCAACAGG
rnacentral:rRNA from 1 species